rnacentral:misc_RNA from 1 species
GGCAAGUAAGAAUGUUGAAGCUGCAGAGGCCAAGGAUAGGCUGGUUGGCAACACGUCAUCUGGUUCCCAGUUGCCCAAAGGAAAUGUUGCCUCUGAAAGUGAAACAGCUCUUACCUUUGAGUCCAGUUCAUUGGUAGAUCUGCCAAAAAAUGAUUCUGGCAUUGCAGUUGCAACAGCAGCUACUGCUUCUUUGGUUGCGGAGGGACCCCAAUC